GAUGAACGCUGGCGGCGUGCCUAAUACAUGCAAGUCGAGCGAACAGACGAGGAGCUUGCUCCUUCGACGUUAGCGGCGGACGGGUGAGUAACACGUAGGUAACCUACCUAUAAGACUGGGAUAACUUCGGGAAACCGGAGCUAACACCGGAUAAUAUUUCGAACCGCAUGGUUCGAUAGUGAAAGAUGGCUUUGCUAUCCCUUAUAGAUGGACCUGCGCCGUAUUAGCUAGUUGGUAAGGUAACGGCUUACCAAGGCAACGAUACGUAGCCGACCUGAGAGGGUGAUCAGCCACACUGGAACUGAGACACGGUCCAGACUCCUACGGGAGGCAGCAGUAGGGAAUCUUCCGCAAUGGGCGAAAGCCUGACGGAGCAACGCCGCGUGAGUGAUGAAGGUCUUCGGAUCGUAAAACGCUGUUAUUAGGGAAGAACAAACGUGUAAGUAACUGUGCACGUCUUGACGGUACCUAAUCAGAAAGCCACGGCUAACUACGUG
rnacentral:rRNA from 1 species